rnacentral:rRNA from 1 species
GAUGAACGCUGGCGGCGUGCCUAAUACAUGCAAGUCGAGCGAACAGACGAGGAGCUUGCUCCUCUGACGUUAGCGGCGGACGGGUGAGUAACACGUGGAUAACCUACCUAUAAGACUGGGAUAACUUCGGGAAACCGGAGCUAAUACCGGAUAAUAUAUUGAACCGCAUGGUUCAAUAGUGAAAGACGGUUUUGCUGUCACUUAUAGAUGGAUCCGCGCCGCAUUAGCUAGUUGGUAAGGUAACGGCUUACCAAGGCGACGAUGCGUAGCCGACCUGAGAGGGUGAUCGGCCACACUGGAACUGAGACACGGUCCAGACUCCUACGGGAGGCAGCAGUAGGGAAUCUUCCGCAAUGGACGAGAGCCUGACGGAGCAACGCCGCGUGAGUGAUGAAGGUCUUCGGAUCGUAGAACUCUGUUAUUAGGAGGGAACAAAUGUGUAAGUAACUGUGCACGUCUUGACGGUACCUAAUCAGAAAGCCACGGCUAACUACGUG